rnacentral:lncRNA from 10 species
GUUCGGCGGCCGCGGCUCGCCUUUUCCUGAGUAGAGGGUCACGAGGGGACUACAAGCCCCAGCCGUCCGCCCCCGCAGUCGCCAGUUCCCCGUCUGCCCUCGCCGGGGCUCCGCGGCCUGGUUCUCCAGAGCCACAGACGCGCCCGCGUCACCAGGGUCGCCCGUGUGGGAACGUGCUCGGCAGGCCGCGGGUUUGAGAGGCGUCCCGGCGUGACGAAUGCAACCAGCGUAGCCCCCAAAUGAGUCGGCGGCCGCCGCAGGUUGUCGUACAGCCGCGGCGCUCCCUGGGGCAGUCACCCAAAGGACUUUCCCUUCUUUAUUUGUUGGGGGCGGCGGGGACUGGAACCCAGACGCGCAAGUGUGGGGCGUGUCCUCGUGGCGUCCCUGGCGCUCCGAGGCCGAGACCCGGAUGCCAGGAGAGGCAGUGAGGUCGGAAAGGCACCGCGGGGCCAGCAUUAGGGCUGAGCUAGUUCUGUGGCCUCGGGUGGGACGUUCAAUCUCUCUGGGCCUCGCCAUUCUCUUUCUUUUUAUUGCUUUUUGUUUGUUUGUUUAAGACGGAGUCUCUCUGUCGCCCAGGCUAGAGUGCAGUGGCCCAAUCUCGGCUCACUGCAACGUUUGCCUCCUGGGUUCAAGCGAUUCUCCUGCCUCACCCUACCCAGUAGCUGGGACUACAGGUGCCCACUAUCACGUCCGGCUAAUUUUUGUAUUUUUAAUAGAGACGGGGUUUCACCAUUUUGGCCAGGCUGGUCUCGAACUCCUGACCUCAGGUGAUCCGCCCGCCUUUCCCUCCCAAAGUGCUGGAAUUACAGGCGUGAGCCACCGCGUCCGGCCUCAGUUCUUUUGAAGUCAUUUUACCAUCCUCUGGAUUUUCCUCAUCCUAAUUCUCCUUCCCAGUCUCCAGGAAAGACAGGCACAUUUUCUUGAUGACUUCAGCACUUGUAACCCCUUGUUGGCUCUCCUUAGAGGACAUUAACUCUGUGUGUUUGAACCUUUCAACUUCGAGGAUCUCCUCAGCCCAUCCUUAUUUGUUCACCCUUCUGGAUCAUGAAAUCUCCAAAUUUGUCUUUUGAACCCAGUGCCCAUAUCCACCCUCACCUGAACCCAUUCUUGAAUAAAAUGCAUUCCUACCAUGACUGUUCUCAAAGUUUGAAGUUGAGCAUACCGAUGCGCCACUCCUGCUUCAAUGCUUGAGAAGUCGUAGGCUUUCUUCUAUGUGCCUUUUGACUGGGCGCCUAUCUCCCGACAGCCUGAGGUGGUGUAGCAUAGGGGCGAAGGUGGUCUGUGCUUGAAUCCCAAAACCCUCACUAGCGUGGGACCUGUGCCAGUUACUUGACCUCUUUUUCAUUUCUUCACUAGUUUGUAAAACGGACACAAUUACAGCACAUCUUUUAUUGUUAUUAUUUGACACGAAGUCUCACUCUGUCACCCAUGCUGGAGUGCAGUGGCGUGAUCUUGGCUCACUGCAACCUCUGCCUCCUGGGUUCAAGCGAUUCUCGUGCCUCAGUCUCCCGAGUAGCUGGGAU